rnacentral:rRNA from 1 species
UACGAGGGGGGCGAGCGUUUGUUCGGAAUUAUUGGGCGUAAAGGGUGCGUAGGCGGCCUGACAAGUCUGAUGUGAAAUCCCUGGGCUCAACCCAGGGCCUGCAUCGGAAACUGUCGGGCUUGAGUAUGGGAGAGGUGAGUGGAAUUUCCGGUGUAGCGGUGAAAUGCGUAGAUAUCGGAAGGAACACCUGUGGCGAAAGCGGCUCACUGGACCAUUACUGACGCUGAGGCACGAAAGCUAGUGGAGCAAACAGG